CGUAGGAUCGCAACUCCAAGAUCUGCUGAUUUUAGCCAACAAGCAGUCAAUUGUCCAUCCCAGAAGCUGAAAAGAAAAUCCUGAACUUGGGCAGUACUGUAGCAACCAGGUUGAUUUGUAGAGGGGCAGGUCACUACAGGGAAGGAAUUGGGAGGAGAAACUCGAGGGUUUGAGUCGCCUAUGGAAGGGCAAACGGUGCCCAGAAUAUCAGACCAAACGAAUCACUAACGGUAGAGACUGAUCAACUCCUUUGUAGCUAGGCAGAAGAACAGUGAUAGAAAAUAUGGAAUAAAAGUGGAAAAGAAAGAAGACGAAAUAAAGGGAAAGAGAGGAGGGGAGCAUGCACGGCAGCCAUGGUUUCAUCCAAAAUACUCAUUCAAUUUCAAUCAAUUCAAGUCUCUUCGUUAGCUUGCUACUAACACUUUAGAACGGGUUUCUCCACUUACACAUGCAGUUGGAAAUGUGUUGAAGAGAGUGUUUGUUAUAGGGUUCUCCAUUGUGGUAUUUGGCAAUAAGAUCUCCACACAGACUGGCAUUGGUACAGUCAUAGCAAUUGCAGGUGUUGCCAUCAUUCACUUAUCAAGGCAAAUAUGGAAGAACAAAAACGAGUAAGAUUUCAGCAACGCUGGUUUUGCUUUAUGCAUUGCCUAACAUCAUUUCACAUAAUAC